rnacentral:rRNA from 1 species
GGAAUAUUGGACAAUGGGCGAAAGCCUGAUCCAGCCAUGCCGCGUGAGUGAUGAAGGCCUUAGGGUUGUAAAGCUCUUUCAGCGGGGAAGAUAAUGACGGUACCCGCAGAAGCAGCCCCGGCUAACUUCGUGCCAGCAGCCGCGGUAAUACGAAGGGGGCUAGCGUUGUUCGGAAUCACUGGGCGUAAAGCGCGCGUAGGCGGAUUGUUAAGUCGGGGGUGAAAUCCUGAGGCUCAACCUCAGAACUGCCUUCGAUACUGGCGAUCUUGAGUCCGGGAGAGGUGAGUGGAAUUCCUAGUGUAGAGGUGAAAUUCGUAGAUAUUAGGAAGAACACCAGUGGCGAAGGCGGCUCACUGGCCCGGUACUGACGCUGAGGCGCGAAAGCGUGGGGAGCAAA